CCCCCUUGCGGUAAAAAUGAUAUGUUCACGCCGCGCGGCCCUGAUGUUGCGUGAUGAAGUUGAUAUACUUUACUUGACCUUUCAAUUUUGAUACAUUGUAUCUGUUAAUUCAAUUCUCUCACCGGAAGCACUGCUGUGUUUUGUAAAAACGAGUUAUAUUGAAGAUAAAUUGACAGGGUAUUUCUUGACAUCAUCUGAAAAAGGUAGAGCCUAGCCUACGCUUAGCAGUCGAGGCCUACUUUGCAAGUUUUAUCUUAAAAUUCGUCGACAGCAUAAAAUCCGCGAGAGGCCAGAAAAACUGAACCUUAUGAACUGUGAUGGUGAUGAGUAUGGUCUUGGGAGACGCCAAGCCGUGUGUCUGAGUGACCAGCCGCACAUCACUCAUUGUCAUCUCCUUGGAGCCCCCAGCACCCCAGGCUCCCUCUCAGUGCCAACGCCAGACUGGAACCCAACUGUCAGCUCUUUGGGUGGAGAGGAUCCCAAGUCCUAACCGGACUCAAGAUUAAUAAGUCUAGCCUCGUCAAGAGCAGGGUCUCCAAUCUCAACCUCACUACUGGAAAACCAGCCAAGGACCGCCUUAGAAGACUCUUGCUAUCAAAACAAACGUCAUUCCAUUGAUACAUUUUACAACAAAACAGUGCACCAACCCUCUGUACACAACUGGACAUGCCACCCCUGGGCGGAGGCUGUGUAAAUCACUGAGCUGGCCAUCCAUAGGUGGAGGCAGGGGCCUGCUGCUGGCGGGCCAGGCUGGCUCAACGCCCGCUGUCCAACCCUCCUGGCUGCGGCAGGUGAAAGAGGUCUGCUGUGUGCAGAGCUGACAGCCCCUCGCAAUGCAUAGAAACACUUGCUUCAUUACCAAACACCCCCCCAGUGAAACAGGGAGAGGUAGAGAAAGAGAGUUGCUGUACUAAACAUGACUUUGAGAAGAGGACAGAAAACACUGUGUGCAUCACUCAUCUGCUCAUGAGUCAACCAACACUGAUGACGUCACAGGGAGCCGUGCAAGCCUCACACAAACUAUACUGUAUUACCAUUUUUUUUUAAACGACCUUAUUUAUUUGCACAAAGAAAAUCAAGAGCUGAUUAUUUUUUCCAUGUUGUGGACUGAAAAGUACCUCCCACAGAGAGAGAACAACCUUAUUUCACAAACAAGACAAUUAAAAUACUUAUUUAGUACAGAAAUAGACAUUGGACAAUUACAUCUCAUAUUUUCUUACUACCUAGCGCCUCUCAUGAUAUAUUCAAAAUGGAAAUAUGAAGCCUGGUAUGGAUCUUUUCAUUUCUACUCAGACAUGUUUCAGCUUUGAUGAUUAACAGAUUAUCUGCUAUAGCUAUAAAGGACUUGUAUCUAUUUUUAUUUAACUAGGCAAGUCAGUUAAGAACAAAUUCUUGUUUACAAUGACGGCCUAGGAACAGUGGGUUAACUUCCUUGUUCAGGGGCAGAACAACAGAUUUUUACCAGCUCGGGGGUUUGCUCUAGCAACCUUUCGGUUACUGGCCCAACGCUCUAACCACUAGGCUACCUGCCACCCCUGCAAGUUAUCAGGGAGUGAAUACAUCCAUGAAAUGAAUCCUAGCACUGCUGCAAAAGCACCACUAUAAAGCAAAGAGAGGGAUUCAUUAAUGUAAGAACAGGUCAUCUUGAUUUAUGAUGUGUGAAUUUGGAGCUGAGAGUCUGAGAGACCAAGGGGGUGGGUGGCAAACACAGCACCCUGUGUUAUAGGUUGAGACACCGGGAUCCCCCUCGGCUGGCUCCCCAUCCUGUCUCCAACUCCCCCAGCCUGUUAGUUCAUAGAGGAGGCUCUGGCCGCGCAUCUGCAGCUUUGUCCUGAUGAACCGUGUAAAUCCACCUUGAUUACUACAUGGGAUCACCACGCUGGCUUUGGCGGUGCUGAAAAGCCGUCUUUGACGUGUGCUAAAUAUCUUGGUAGCCGCAGUGGAUGCCCACCGUCUCUCUGUGCUGUUGUUCACGCUCCAUUUCUGUGACAUGGUGGAUUGAUGAACUGCUGAAUCAUCAAUCAAAAGCCAAAGUAUUUAUUUUUCAUAUGCUAAAGGGGCUGCUAUCUGAGAGCUGACCACUGCCUUCGGGCUGCAUCACAGCCCAGUGCACUUGCUGUGUAACUGGCUUGUUAGAACCAUCAGUCCUCCUCCGUCUCAGCUGAGGACACUGUUACCCUGGAUGACAGAUGAGUUUAUGCUCACCUCCUGAGCUCAAUGAAACCUUAAGCCCUCCACCAUCCAUGACGCUCUGAUGUAAUAUGUUAGUUGACAUGUGAGGUACUGAGUUUGCUUUGGAUUAUAAGUAGGCCUACAAUACUGUAUUAUAAUUUUUCCAGGCCCAUAUCUUGGUCAAGGUUGCCAAAUCUGAGCAUCAGUUUGUUUAUUUUAUUGAUCAUUUCUGAAAAUAAUGACACAAUUGCCUUUCAUAGUUUCUUAACGAUUUCAUUUUACAGGUCCAAACUAACUGUGUAAAAGUACUAUAUUUGUUUUGAAACCCAAAUAGACAUUAUGUUAAGUAAUUUGUUUGAAUAGCUAGCGAGGGCAGUUCGGAGAUUGAAAUAGCCCAGUGUUUAUAUUCUGGUUAAUUACUCUGUUUGGAUAAAAUGCUAUUGUCUAUAAAAACUUUAUGGGAUGAAAAGAAAUGAACACACACAACCGUGUGAUGCCUCGACUCCACAACCUGUGGGAAAACAAGGCUAGCUGUUAAUUAAAGAGCCGGUUAAAGGGGAAGUUCAACCAUCUGGCCUUAUUUUCACUCUUUCUGUGCUUGUAGUUGAUAUUUUGUUUCUUUACAGUGAAAAUUGAUUGUCACAUUUUGCUGAGUCAUGACUUGGCAUUGACUAUAAUGCAAAAUGCAAAUAUGUCUAACGCAUAUUAGA
rnacentral:lncRNA from 1 species